rnacentral:rRNA from 1 species
AUGGAGACCGAUUCUGAUGGUGUUGCACUUGCAUCAUGGGUGCUGGGAAGAACCGUUGAACUGGACAAGCUACUUCCCCUGGAUCUAGAAGAGGAAGAGAACUCAGGAGAGGAGGAGAGUUCUGAUGGUGUUGCGUCAUCGGUGCUGGGAAGAACCGUUGAACUGGACAAGCUAUUUUCCCUGCAUCCAGAAGAGGAAGAGAGCUCAGAAGAGGAGGAGAGCUCAGAAGAGGAAGAUAACGAGUCCCCAUUCCCAAUUAUACUAGGGUUUGCUAAAUACAAUAAUGUGGUUUUCCUAUGGACACCUAUCCACAACUUCACACUCCAGCUUGAGUCACUGCAGUUCAAGAAAGUGUCCCAAAUACACAUGUGGGCUCGCUAUUAUCCAUUCGAAAGUGCCUAUGCAGCAGAUGCUUCUCAAGAUGGGAUACAUAAUGGUUGGAAUGCCCCCUUGUAG